UACGUAGGGGGCUAGCGUUGUCCGGAUUUAUUGGGCGUAAAGAGCGUGUAGGCGGCUAGGUAGGUCCGUUGUGAAAACUCGAGGCUCAACCUCGAGACGCCGAUGGAAACCAUCUAGCUAGAGUCCGGAAGAGGAGAGUGGAAUUCCUGGUGUAGCGGUGGAAUGCGCAGAUAUCAGGAGGAACACCAAUGGCGAAGGCAGCUCGCUGGGACGGUACUGACGCUGAGGUGCGAAAGCGUGGGGAGCGAACAGG
rnacentral:rRNA from 1 species